UGGGGUGUAGCUUAGUGGUAGAGCAUGUGCCUAGCAUGCAUGAAGCCCUGGGCUCCAUCCCCAGCACCAAAA
rnacentral:tRNA from 1 species